UUCAAAAUAAUUUAAUUAAAAAUAUAAAUUUUGUAAAUUUACAAUCCUUAUAGGUUUUGAAU
rnacentral:tRNA from 1 species